AGAAGAUGACGAGUGGCGGACGGGUGAGUAAUGCUUGGGAACUUGCCUUUGCGAGGGGGAUAACAGUUGGAAACGACUGCUAAUACCGCAUAAUGUCUUCGGACCAAACGGGGCUUCGGCUCCGGCGCAAAGAGAGGCCCAAGUGAGAUUAGCUAGUUGGUAAGGUAAAGGCUUACCAAGGCGACGAUCUCUAGCUGUUCUGAGAGGAAGAUCAGCCACACUGGGACUGAGACACGGCCCAGACUCCUACGGGAGGCAGCAGUGGGGAAUAUUGCACAAUGGGGGAAACCCUGAUGCAGCCAUGCCGCGUGUGUGAAGAAGGCCUUCGGGUUGUAAAGCACUUUCAGUUGUGAGGAAAAGUUAGUAGUUAAUACCUGCUAGCCGUGACGUUAACAACAGAAGAAGCUCCGGCUAACUCCGUGCCAGCAGCCGCGGUAAUACGGAGGGUGCGAGCGUUAAUCGGAAUUACUGGGCGUAAAGCGCACGCAGGCGGUUUGUUAAGCUAGAUGUGAAAGCCCCGGGCUCAACCUGGGAUGGUCAUUUAGAACUGGCAGACUAGAGUCUUGGAGAGGGGAGUGGAAUUCCAGGUGUAGCGGUGAAAUGCGUAGAUAUCUGGAGGAACAUCAGUGGCGAAGGCGAC
rnacentral:rRNA from 1 species